AUGUUAGUGGACCAGUAGGACUGGGUUUAGGGCAUGACCUAGGUUUACUUUCGGCUCUAAGGCUGUGCGACGACUGAUCGGCUCUCGUUUUGCCUGUGGGCGAUUUCCACUUGGUUCUUUCCGAUUUAAAGUCCGCGACUUGGCGCCGGCCUAUACGACUUGUAUGGAACGAACCGAUCACUCUCCAGAGACUGUCUGGAGUGCUGACCAAAAUUUUGGAUUUCUUGUAUAGCGCGCUAUGGUAUCGUCGUCGGAUGUAAGAGAACCUUUACUUUUACGAAAGGUUAGACUACGAGUUCUUUUUUUUGAGAACGUUUUUUGGUUUGUCCGUCGGGGCCAAUCGACGGGCAAUUUUUAGGGUCGCGGACGGACCGUGUGUUUGGAUAAUGUCUCUCGAAAAUAUUUACGACAUCUCGCUUUUUCCGAAAGGUAUAUUCUUUGUAGAAAGUUACGAUCUUCGUUUUUAGAGA
rnacentral:lncRNA from 1 species